UCAGUGAUUUCCUACCACCCUACUCUCUCC
rnacentral:piRNA from 1 species